rnacentral:rRNA from 1 species
GAUGUGUACAUAUUUUAAUUAAAAAUCAUUUUAUUAAAUUAAAUAAAAUUACAUUUAAAUCCAAUUUCAAAUAAAUAUUACAAUCUAUUAUUCAAAAAUAAUUUUAUUGUAAUCCAUUAUAUUCUUAAAUAUAAACUACAUCUUGAUCUGAUUUAAUUUUUUUUAAAAAUUUUAAAAUAUUAAAUUUCAUAAAAAAUAUUUUUUUAACAACGAUAUAUAAAUUUUUAAUUUAAGUAAAUUAAUUCGUGGAUUAUCAAUUAUUAAACAGAUUCCUCUAAAUUUACUAAAAUACCGCCAAAUCAUUUAAAUUUCAACAAAUAAUUAUUUACUAAUUU